rnacentral:rRNA from 1 species
CCUACGGGAGGCAGCAGUGGGGAAUAUUGCACAAUGGGCGCAAGCCUGAUGCAGCAACGCCGCGUGAGGGACGAAGGCCUUCGGGUUGUAAACCUCUUUUAGUAGGGAAGAAGCGACUGGGUUUUCCUGGGAGUGACGGUACCUGCAGAAAAAGCACCGGCUAACUACGUGCCAGCAGCCGCGGUAAUACGUAGGGUGCAAGCGUUGUCCGGAAUUAUUGGGCGUAAAGAGCUCGUAGGCGGUUUGUCGCGUCUGCUGUGAAAACCCAGGCUCAACCUCGGGCCUGCAGUGGGUACGGGCAGACUAGAGUGCGGUAGGGGAGAUUGGAGUUCCUGGUGUAGCGGUGGAAUGCGCAGAUAUCAGGAGGAACACCAAUGGCGAAGGCAGAUCUCUGGGCCGUAACUGACGCUGAGGAGCGAAAGCAUGGGGAGCGAACAGGAUUAGAUACCCUGGUAGUCCAUGCCGUAAACGUUGGGAACUAGAUGUGGGGACCAUUCCACGGUCUCCGUGUCGCAGCUAACGCAUUAAGUUCCCCGCCUGGGGAGUACGGCCGCAAGGCUAAAACUCAAAGGAAUUGACGGGGGCCCGCACAAGCGGCGGAGCAUGCGGAUUAAUUCGAUGCAACGCGAAGAACCUUACCAAGGCUUGACAUAUACCGGAAACGGCUGGAAACAGUCGCCCCGCAAGGUCGGUAUACAGGUGGUGCAUGGUUGUCGUCAGCUCGUGUCGUGAGAUGUUGGGUUAAGUCCCGCAACGA